GAGGGUGGAAGAGAGUAGAUUUCAGAAUGAAUCGUGGUACAAGUUCUGAGACCAUGGAUUCCGAGGGGGAGGAGCUGCCGCCUUUUUGUCCCACCCCCACCGCGCGUUGGUCCGAAAGCUCCCCAAAGCUCUCCUAAAAUCGGGGAGGGGCAAAGACGAAAUCUGACUCCCUGCAGCCUUUCGGCGCCACCCCGGGACUCUGGUGGUUGGAGUGGAUCCCUAAGGCUCCGUGCCCCGGGAACCGCAGGCAGAGUCACUGUGGCACCCUGGAGACCUGGAUACUUGGUCCCUGAAGUGACCCCUAGCAUCCAGUCCCACAUCCGCCACCAUUCCGUGCUGCGGGGAUACCAUGGCUCCAGAAGAGGACGCUGGAGGGGAGGCCUUAGGGGGCAGUUUCUGGGAGGCUGGCAACUACAGACGCACGGUGCAGCGGGUGGAGGAUGGGCACCGGCUAUGUGGGGACUUGGUCAGCUGUUUCCAGGAGCGCGCCCGCAUUGAGAAGGCCUACGCCCAGCAGCUGGCUGACUGGGCCCGAAAGUGGAGGGGUGCUGUGGAGAAGGGCCCCCAGUAUGGCACCUUGGAGAAGGCCUGGCAUGCGUUCUUCACCGCGGCUGAGCGGCUCAGUGCGCUGCAUCUGGAGGUGCGGGACAAACUGCAAGGCCAGGACAGCGAGCGUGUGCGCUCCUGGCAGCGGGGUGCCUUCCACCGGCCCGUGCUGGGUGGCUUCCGCGAGAGCCGUGCUGCCGAGGACGGCUUCCGUAAGGCCCAGAAGCCCUGGCUGAAGAGGCUCAAGGAGGUUGAAACUUCCAAGAAGAGCUACCAUGCAGCCAGGAAGGAUGAGAAGACGGCUCAGACCCGUGAGAGCCACGCCAAGGCUGACAGCGGCGUUUCCCAGGAGCAGCUGCGCAAGCUGCAGGAGCGGGUGGAGCGCUGUACCAAAGAGGCCGAGAAGACGAAAGCCCAGUAUGAGCAGACGCUGGCAGAGCUGAAUCGCUACACACCACGCUAUAUGGAGGACAUGGAACAGGCCUUCGAGAGCUGCCAGGCCGCCGAACGCCAGCGCCUUCUCUUCUUCAAGGACACGUUGCUCACCUUACACCAGCACCUCGACCUCUCCAGCAGUGAGAAGUUCCAUGAACUUCACCGUGAUCUGCAUCAGGGGAUCGAGGCGGCCAGUGACGAGGAGGACCUACGCUGGUGGCGCAGCACCCAUGGGCCGGGCAUGGCCAUGAACUGGCCGCAGUUUGAGGCAUGUGCUGCAGGCUUGGCUGGGGCUUGGGUUCAACUGGGUGAAAAGUGGCCUGGGCGUCCCCAGCUGCUGUCACCCCUGCCCCAGCCUGACCUCAGGCAUCGUUGCCACAGGAGUGGUCCUUGGACACACAGCGGACCAUCAGCCGCAAGGAGAAGGGCAGCCGCAGCCCUGAUGAAGUCACUCUGACCAGCAUCGUACCCACAAGAGAUGGCACUGCACCCCCACCCUCCCAGACCCUGGGAUCCCCAGGCGGGCAGGAGGAAGAAUGGUCAGAUGAGGACAGUCCCCGGAAAGCUGCCACUGGUGUGCGGGUGCGGGCACUGUAUGACUAUGCCGGCCAAGAAGCAGACGAGCUGAGUUUCCGUGCAGGUA